CCUACGGGUGGCUGCAGUGAGGAAUAUUGGUCAAUGGGCGGGAGCCUGAACCAGCCAAGCCGCGUGAGGGAAGAAGGUACAGCGUAUCGUAAACCUCUUUUGUCAGGGAACAAAGGCGGGGACUAGUCCCCGGAUGAGGGUACCUGAAGAAAAAGCAUCGGCGAACUCCGUGCCAGCAGCCGCGGUAAUACGGAGGAUGCGAGCGUUAUCCGGAUUUAUUGGGUUUAAAGGGUGCGCAGGCGGAAGGUUAAGUCAGCGGUAAAAUGGCGGUGCUCAAAACCGGCCUGCCGUUGAAACUGGUCUUCUUGAGUGAGCGAGAAGUAUGCGGAAUGCGUGGUGUAGCGGUGAAAUGCAUAGAUAUCACGCAGAACUCCGAUUGCGAAGGCAGCAUACCGGCGCUCAACUGACGCUGAGGCACGAAAGCGUGGGGAUCGAACAGGAUUAGAUACCCGUGUAGUC
rnacentral:rRNA from 1 species